rnacentral:rRNA from 1 species
CGUAGGCGGUAUAUUCAACGUACAGUAAAAAACUGAGGUAGACCCUCUUUACUCUGUAUUCACUGUUUUACUUGAGUUCAAUGGCGAUGUUUGAAUUCCCUAAGUAGGAGUAAAAUUGUUGAUAUUUGGAAGACAUUCAAAGGCGGAAGCGAUAAUCGAGAUUGAUUGACGCUAAGGUACUAAAGCAUGGGUAUGAAAAGGAUUAGAGACCUUGUAGUCCAUGCCUUAAACAAUGAGUGUUCAACGUCUUAAAGCAUUCUUAAACUAAAUGAAAUUACAAUAGUUAGGUAUUGUGGUGUUUAAUAGGAUAAGAAGGGAACUUUAGGGGGUUUAAAGCUAACGCGUGAAACACCGCCUGGGGAAUGUGGCCGCAAGGUUAAACUCAAAGGAAUUGACGGAGGCUUGUACAAGG